rnacentral:rRNA from 1 species
AGGGUUUGAUUAUGGCUCAGGACGAACGCUGGCGGCGCGCCUAACACAUGCAAGUCGAACGGAGAUGAAAAAAGCUUGCUUUGAUCAUCUUAGUGGCGGACGGGUGAGUAACACGUGAGCAACCUGCCUUUCAGAGGGGGAUAACGUUUGGAAACGAACGCUAAUACCGCAUAACGUAUACGGAUGGCAUCGUCUGUAUACCAAAGGAGCAAUCCGCUGAAAGAUGGGCUCGCGUCCGAUUAGCUAGAUGGUGAGGUAACGGCCCACCAUGGCGACGAUCGGUAGCCGGACUGAGAGGUUGACCGGCCACAUUGGGACUGAGACACGGCCCAG